UAAGCGGUAGAGCUCCUUUUGUACCAAUCAAGGACUGUGCAAAAAUGAUCCGACUGCCGAUUUAUGCAUCCUUCUGCCCUGCGAGUGUUCGUUGUUUCAAGUCCGAAUAGAUUGCAGGUUAGUGGUUUGCAGAAGACCGAUUUCAUUGCAGGUUAGUGGUGUGCAUAAGGCGGGAGUUGUAUUGAUUUUGUGUUGUCCUCGUUUGGUUUGAAGGGAGCUCUACUGGGC
rnacentral:pre_miRNA from 1 species